ACUGAACACUUGUUAGUCGAUCUUGUUGGUUUUAAUUGAAUUCCGCAAUGUUCUUAAACAUUUAUUCCAUUAUUUUUGUUUACUCCAUGUAAAUCGAUCGGUUUGAACUCGGUGCAUUUUAAAAGUUAUCGACGAUAUUAAUCCAAAUAUGUUAUAAAUGCAUGGUGUUUCAGUUUGAAAUUCUGGUCGUUCAGCAGACGGUAACGGGUUUUACAUGCGUUUGUAUUUUACAAUCGUUGAUAAUUGCAAAAUUGAAGCAGCAGGAAUUUACCUGUGGAAAGGAAAAAAAAGACAAAGCGAUAAAAAUUAAAGAUAAGACAAACGUGUAAAAGAUAAGGAACUGGAUAUUAAACCGGAAGUUGAAAUUAAAAAAGUGCUGAAAAAUGAUGAUUAAUUCAAAAAGUUUCAUUUGUGUAUGAAAUAUUGUGUGUAAUACAUCAAUCAGUGGUUAAAUAGUCUCGAACAAAAGGCGUGACUUGUUCUUUUUUCUUCUAUCGAUUCACUGAAAUGUGCUGAAUUAUUAUGACUGGGGAAUCGUCGCCAGUGUUCGAUUAGCGAUUGCUUUGAUUAAUAUAUCAACUAACUUGAAAUGCUUGAUAAUAUAUUGUUUUCCCUGGUAUUGAAAACUAUUCGCAUUUAUGUGUUUAAUAGGUGGCUAUGGAUUACAAUCGGAAAUUAUUAUUCGUUGGUUACAACGCGUUGUUGACAUUGACAAACCACUUACACCAAUGUCACUGUGUGGCAUUUAAACAAAAGUGCCAAUAAAAUGCCGAGUGUCUUUGGCCUAUUCACAAUCAUCAAUUUGAACCAGUCCACUGUAAACGAACCACGACUAUUGACUCAUACGAACUUGACAUUUCAUCAUUUCCAUGACGUUUUAAAUCAGUGCCUAUAUUUUUCCACAUCGAAUGAAUCAUCAUCGUAUUGUGUCGUCAGAAUCUAGGCGUGUAAUAAUUGCAGGAUGGUUGAUGACGUGUUGUACUAUGUUUUGGUGCUGUUGACACUGUUACCGGUAUAUUUGUUCUUCAAGCUGAUUCAAUGGAUGGGAUGGGAGCUAUUCGUAAACAAUUGAUGACAAUAAACUAGCCGAACAAUGAAAAAGGAUCAAUUGAACAAGCAGCGUCUGGUUUGCAUAAACUCGCUAAAAAUGUGAGGUUAAUAGCCGCUGAGAGCAGUUGCAGAAGGAUAAUGACUGCGAUAGAAUAAGCAACGCUCUUUAUCCAGUUGAAGUGCUCGACGUUUAAGCAACAGUUCACGUUCCAACAAGAUUCGAGUUUGAUUCAAAGCAUUUCUGGUAUCUUCAGCCUCUUUUAUGGAUACAGAUAAGGCCAAAGUAGCUUCUUCGAUGCUUCGUACUUCUUCAACCAGACCAACGUGUGCACGAUCCCGGCAAUUCUCAACAUUUAGACGCCGAUUACGAUGGUCAAGCCGAGAUUGAGCUACCUUCAUUGGUGUAUCCAUGUUUUGCAUAUUUUGAUUUAGAUUUUCAAUCAAGAGCUCGGUAUCAGCUAGGCGUUUUAGGCACUGUAAGGAAUGAGAAGAUAAUAUAGGAGAUUAGCAAGUUAAUGCUGUGUGAACAACGAGCUUAGGAACUUGACAGUACAUCUUUUAGAAUUACAUCAGAAUGUUAUUCAUAAAUUAAUUUCUUUUACUCACAUCCUUCAAUUCUGACUCAAGUUUUCGACAAGCCUCAUCAAUGUUCGUGAUGCGAUGAUUGAACGAACGAACCACACGAUCGGCUUUACAAUAUCAUGUUGAUGUCAAUGUACCGAUUUUUGUCGCACAUCUUCACAAUCGUUCAGAGCUUGUAUUGUAAACUCUUCCCAUGAAUACUCUGUGGAUUGCCUGCAUUAGGAAGAUCCGGAAAAAUCGAAAUAAAUUAAGAAAAUGUUUGGAAAAACUAAAACGAAUCGCAAGUUUUGAUUCAAAAGUACCCAUCCAUGAAUCGAGUUGCACCCGGUUUGAAGAGAAUCUCAUGUGAUCGAUUGUUUAGCGACGAAUUUCUGGCGUCAAUUUCAUAGGCGUGCAUUUUAUCGGACCAAUCGCUUUCAAGUCGUUCACGUGCCGCUCGGUUUUCACUCUGUUGUGCAUUGAUGUCAUUCAGUGUGGCGUGGAAAACAGUUCGAAUCUCGGAGAUCAAUGCAACCUCUUCGAUAAGUUCUUCCUCUGGCCCGUCACGUAUCAAUUCGCUAUCGGGUCGUCGACUUCGCCGUUCAACACAUUCCGUAGCUGUUGGAAAUUAGUUAUUUUUAGUUACAAAUAAAGGAAUUAGACUCUGAUCAAUAUUACCGAUAGACUCUGGUUUUUGCAAGACAGCUAUUGCUUUCAUCAUACGAUUCCGCUGCUCUGCCAAAUUGCUUAUUUCAUCCAUUUGUGCACGUAUUGCUCGUUCCAGUGUUGUUUUCAAUCGGUACACAUCAUGUGUACGAUCUCUCAGCAAUUUUGUACUAUUUUCCUGGUGUCGAUCAACCAAUGCAAUUGCAUGAUCGGUUGUGUCUUUGCCCUUGUCUUCAACUCUGUGCGGAAAGUUUUUCACUCGAAAUGAAAUGAAUGACGAAAAAAUUAUGGGAAAAAAGGUAAGUGAUUUACUUGAGACUUUGGAGGAUGACUUGAUGAUUUUCAUCGUAAAUGUCAAUGUUUCGUUGGUGCCAUUCAUUGGUGCUGAAUCGCGUUACGGAAUAAUGAUCAACGACUGGUUUAACACCAACCAAACCACUCGAUGGAUUCCAAUCACAUUUUCCAGUGGCCCAUGGUCCAAUCGCUCCCAUUUUCUCACACAUCUCUUCGUGUAUCGAUCGUGUACUUUCACAUCUGGAUGGACAUUCAUUCUGUGGAUAUUGAAAUGGAAAUUGUUUUGUUUUGUCGAUAAUUUAAAUGAUUAAAAAACAUUUUUGUAGAAAAAUUACUGUUAAAUAAAAAAAUAAAAAAAUGGUUAACCUGCUGCUGCAAGUUGCCAUCGUCCCAAGUGA